rnacentral:misc_RNA from 1 species
UUUCCGUAGGUGAACCUGCGGAAGGAUCAUUAAAGAACGCCCCGUUUUUUGAAAUGGGUAAUUCUAAACUGUGUAUACAUACCUUUGUUGCUUUGGCAGGCCGCCCCUCAGGGCGUCGGCUCCGGCUGACUGCGCCUGCCAGAGGACCCAAACUCUUUUGUUUAGUGAUGUCUGAGUACUAUGUAAUAGUUAAAACUUUCAACAACGGAUCUCUUGGUUCUG